UUAAUAAUUUUAUAGGGCUCAGACAACGUAAUAAAAGAGUUUUGUGGAUUCUCUGGCAGGCACUGACCAGCCUAAGCCAGUGGUCAUAAGACGGGCCUGCCAAAGCAACAAAGGUAAUAUAAACAAAGGGUGGGAGAUCUACCCCAAAGGGCAAUUUCUCUGUAAUGAUCCUUCCGCAGGUUCACCUACGGAAA
rnacentral:misc_RNA from 1 species